rnacentral:rRNA from 1 species
GAAUCCCGUCCUUGACACAGACUCCCAGCACUUUUGUGAUGCGCUCUCGACGAGUCGAGUUGUUUGGGAUUGCAGCUCAAAAUGGGAGGUAAAUUCCUUCUAAAGCUAAAUAUUGGCGAGAGACCGAUAGCGAACAAGUACCGUGAGGGAAAGAUGAAAAGCACUUUGGAAAGAGAGUUAAACAGUACGUGAAAUUGUUAAAAGGGAAACGCUUGAAGUCAGUCACGUUUGCUUGGACUCAGCCUUACUUCGGUUUGGUGCAUUUCCUUGCAGACGGGCCAGCGUCCAUGUCAAUUGCCGGAAAAGGGGUGAGAGAAUGUGGCUCCUUUGGGAGUGUUAUAGCUCUCACUCGUAUGCGGGGAAUGAUAUGGAGUGGUACAGCACACUUCGGUGGUGCUUGUGCUGGCAUAAUGGCUUUAAACGACCCGUCUUGAAACACGGACCAAGGAGUCUAACAUGUCUGCGAGUAUUUGGGUGGAAAACCCAGGUGCGUAAUGAAAGUGACAGCUGGGAACCCCUUCUGGGAGGCACCGGCACCCCGAGCUGACCUUCUGUGACGCAUCGGAGGCAGAGCAUAUAUGUUGGGACCCGAAAGAUGGUGAACUAUGCCUGAAUAGGGCGAAGCCAGAGGAAACUCUGGUGGAGGCUCGUAGCGAUUCUGACGUGCAAAUCGAUCGUCAAAUUUGGGUAUAGGGGCGAAAGACUAAUCGAACCAUCUAGUAGCUGGUUCCUGCC